CAGGGGAGCGGGGCGGAGGGAAGCGGGUGGCCCCCCUGCACACCCCUCCCUUACACUCCUCCCGCUGCCCGGCCGGGUGCGGCGCUCUCCCUGAGCCCCGCUGCCGCUCGGCUCUCCCAAAGUAGUUCCCGCGGCUCUGCCUCACGCCUUUCCCGGGAGCCGCCGCGGAGGGAUACGUGCCACAGCGCUGUGCGCUGAGUGCUGAGUGGGGCGCCGCGCGGGCCGGGACCGGCGGGGCUGAUGGGUACCCCGCGGGGGAGCUCCCGCCGGGAUCCGUGUGCGCCGGGCCCGCGGGAUGGAGGCGCGAAGAGGGGCAGAUUCCUGCCAAUGAAGUCUUGAGAUAUUGUCUGCUUGCUGCUGUGCCCUCCUGAAUGAACCUAGUGAUUACCUGUAUUCAAACUGAUAACAAUCUGAGCAGCACUCCUGAGAAAACACUUUUCCACAAGAUGCCUCAAAGUCAUUCAGUCACAGAAUUCCACCAACGUACCACACACAAUCAAUAGUUGCCCAAGUAAAAUAGAUACUUGGAAGCAUUUUUAAGAGUAAACUACUGAAUCUUCUCUUCUGAUGUUGAAAUUCUUCUGGUUUUGGGGUUUGUUUUUUUUUUUUUUUUUUUCAGCGUAACAUCUUUUUGUUUGUUUAAUUAUUUUUUAAUUAAACUAAUAAAUGUGAUCUUCAUAACUUGGAAUGAACCACCAUAUUUUUCAGUAGGGCCAAUGGUAUUUUGUUUAUGAGCACCACAGUUUAUUGCCAAAAGCCACUUGAGGCUAAAUUCAGAACUUUUGAAAUGCUGUGGACAAUUCAUUAAGUAUGUAGGCAAAGAUAUUUUCCUACACAUCAAGUAAAUUGGAGUUUUCAUUAGGGAGACAGCUACACAUUUUAAAAUUUUAUGUCUAAAAGUUCUUAUCUACACUCUUCUUCGUCACUACCAAGCAAGAUGUGCUGCUGAGUUAGGUAGUAUUAUUCCUUUGUGCAAGCAAAAAGCACCAGUAAAUUUCAGAGUUAUGCGAUUCAAUGAAAGCAAAGACACAUAUUACACACGUUACAUAGUAAUUACUCAGAGACCAGCUAAGAAAAAAAGCAUCACUGUAAAACUAGAAGAUUGUUUCAUUGUAAAACUAAAGGAUUACCUUGAACAGAUAGGAUGGUUGGAUACAAAUUUUUCUUAAUGCACAAGCAUUUCCUCUUUAUUUAUUUAAAAGUUUAUUUUAUUAUCCGGUAUCAUCUCAACACUAGGAAGCUCAGGCUUAAGGACUUCAUGUCAGCAUCCUGAUGAACUUCUGGUCAUGUUUGUUCUAAAAUUUUUGAAACAAACCCCAGGGGGUCUCACAUGAUUUAUUCAAGGCAAAUGCUGCUGUCUCAGACAGAAAAAUGAUUGCAAGUGUUUUGAUAAAGAAAUUAUAAAGUGCUUAAGCAGGCAUUUUAAACUGCUUCUUACAAAGAAACUGUUCUGAACAAAAAGCAAAUCAAUACAACAUCAGUUCAUGAUGGUACAACAGGUGGAAUGUCUAUCUGUCACAAGAAAUACAUUAAAAAAGUCAUCAAGGUGCAUAAAGAACAGUCUUGCAGGUUCUGUUUCACUGCCUCCUCUGAAGUCUAGGUAUAUCGCCAUAGGACAGUCAGAUUCUUACUGGCCUACUCUCUAUAUUAACCUAGUUUGGCCAACAAAUCUAAUUACAGGUAAGAGUACUCCUACUUUUAAAAGGCCCUUUUAUAUAUAUAUAGUUCUCAUUUAUAAUAUCUGUAAGAAAAAUGACACAGCAGAAUGUGGGUUCUUUGGAGAUAACAUGCCUGGUGGCUUUUCUUUCAUAUCCAUAAAUAUUCACUGAAGGUGAUCAUUUCUCGUUGAAGACAGAAACAGAACUUCUACUCAUUUCAGGCUCUGAGCCUCAGUGCAAGAACCAUAUGAGCUACUAUCUUCUGAGCAUGGAAACCUCAAGGAAACCCAAAGGAUUCUUAAGAAAACUCAGGACCGAAGUACACAGACUGGAGCCUUCAGAAGUAGUUCAGAAAAUUAAAAUCAGAACAUCAUCUCUUUGAGACUAUAACAUUUUAAUCCAUUUUCUCAUCUCAGAGUGAAACAAAAGCUGAAAUUCUUGUUUAUUGUGCUGAACAAAAUAUUUAGAAAAAAAUCCAGUGCAGAAAUAAGGCAAUACUUAAUUUCAGCUUUUUCACAACUGAAACACUUUCAUAUGGCCAAACUGAAGUGGUGUAUUUAAUAUUCAGACCACAUGUCUUUAAUGAAGCACCACCCAUUGCAUUUGAAAAGAGUCCCAACUCCAUAAGAGAGAGCAUGGCUAUGAGACAUAUAGCAAAACAGCUGCAGAGGGAUACACGUUUCAGUAUAUACUGACUUAAAAUGAAACAUUUCAGAUUAGUUCAGCAAACCAGAAUAUUUUGUUUCAUAUUCAGCCAACUGGAAAGUAU